rnacentral:lncRNA from 1 species
UCUUGUACCCUCUCGGGUACAGAAAAAAGAGGUGUGACAGCUCUGCGAUUAGUUCUUUUCCAAAGAUCGUUCCUACCCAUGUCUGAUUACAAACAAGAAUUUGUAAGACACUAAAAUACAUCAUCAUCUAUCAUCUUUGUUAUAAGUACUAAGUACCAACUUUAACAAUUGAAUAAAUCCUCAAAAUGUAAAUUUUAUCAAAUUAGAUAAAGUUAUAAAGAAAAUAAAUUUGAGCAAAGCAAGUCAACUACGAAUGCCGAUAAAUCAUAACACUAAAAAAUCAAAUAACUCAAUUAAAAAAUAUAAUAUGUAGCAAAAAAGUUUAGAACUUUUAAAAAUAUCUGUACCCAUCAUAUAACCACAUCUUUUUCAAUGAGUUUGAAAGUAACACAGAAAAAGAUGUAAAUUUCUUAUUUUUAAGGUCUCACAAAAAGCAAUCACCGGGAAUUCAAUUCUUAAUAAAAUUGAACCAAAAAGUAACAAAAGGUAAUAUAUGCCGAUAAUUUAAGAACAAUAAAAGUAGUCAAAAUCUACAAAAUCAGACAAAAUAAUUGAAAUUUAAAGGUUGAAAGUGGGACUGAGACAGAGAAAGAAAAUAGAACAUUUGCUUCUAGGGAUGACAAGAUAAGUAAUAAAAAAAAUCCUAACCCUCCGUUCUUGGUUUUCUUUUGUGAGUUUAGUGCUUUAGGGUUUUUUGCUCUCUAAUCUCUCUAAUAGAAAAGGGACGUGAUUUUAGUUUAUUCUCCCUAAUCUCUUUAAUAGAAAAGUAGGCUUUUAUUUAAGACAAAACAUUUAGAGGGAAAAAUGUGGAGGGAAUCUUUCGUUUUUACUUUGGAGGCUAUCAAUUUAUUUUGGUGCUAAAUUUAACAUGGAUAAAAAUGUGGAGGGAAUCUUUCAUUUUUACUUUGGAGGCUAUCAAAUUAUUUUGGUGCUAAAUUUAACGUGGGUUAAUUCUUUUGUAUGAUUAGAAUAAUAAAAUUAGAAUGCAUAUUUAAUUAUUGUGUUGAAACUAUUUUAAUUUAGAUUUAACUUAAUAUGUGAUUGUAUGUCCCAUAUUUCGAGUCAAUAAGAAAUCAAUUGUAGGCACCCUAUAAAAUCUUUUUCAUAUUGAUUUUAUAAGUAUUGUAAAACGGAUUUAUUUCUCAAUUAGUUCAAUUCACAUAAGUUAAAAUAUUAAUCAAUUUCAAAUAUCUAAAUAUUUGGACUUCUUACCUAGCUAGUUUAAUAAGAAAAAGAUUUAAUACUUCCUUCGUUCACUUUUACUCGUCCACUAUACUAACAAAACUCUCUAAAUAUUUUUAUUGUUUAAAGGAUGAUAAAGUAAAAAAAUAAAAUAAAAGAUGGCUAGAGUAAACAUCCAUCAACUAUUUUGCAACAACGUAAAAGAAACCAAGCAAAGACGAAAAAAUAUAAAUCAUACGAGUGGAAAGAUAUUAACCAAGCUGGGACUCAAGAAUAAAUUCUAUAGGAGGUUAAAUAUUCAAAAAGAUAAAUCUGAAUUAUAUGAAAGGAAACAUAUUGUGAUGACCCAAAAUGUCAUCUUUAAAUUAAAUGAUCAUUUAUAUGUUUUAAGACCUUGAAAAUCGCUAUUAAUCAUUUCUCGACUUGCAUGCGCAGUCCGUAUAAUUAGAGCUUAAAACUCAACUGAGUUGACUUCGGUCAAUAUUUUGAGUAAACGGACUCGGAUAAGUAUUUUGACAGUUCCGUUAGGUCCGUAUCGUGAUUUGGGAGUUGGGUGUAUGCCCGAAAUUGAAUUCGGAGGUCCCUAACUCAGAUUAUCACUAUUUAACUGAAUCUAGAAAUCUAAGGCUAAAGAUUUCUUAAUUUUGACCGGAGAUUUGACUUUUGAGCAGACGACCUCGUAAUGGAAUUUUGAUGAUGCCAACAACUUCGUAUGGUGAUUUCAACUUAGGCGCAUGUUCAGAUUUGGAUUUGGAAGUCCGUAGGGCAAUUUAGCGAAUUUUGGCGAAAGUUUGAAAAUAGAAGAUUUUUGAAGCAACCUGGGCAGAACUGGAGCAAGGUCGCACAUACGGACAACCUUCUGCACCUGCGCAAUCGCAGGUGCGAUGUUUUAAAACGUAGCAUCGAUGUUGGCAACGCAGAAGCGAAAGAAGGCAGCUGGGCAUACAGGACUCAGACAGAGUUAGGGUGUGAUCGCAAGGAUUCAAGGUAGAGCUGUUUGGUCGUCGAGUACCUUGGAGUCUUUCCCUUUUAUUGUACUGUCAAUUAUUAUUCGAGCAAUAUUGUAUAUUUAAUUUCCUUCAGAUCAUUUCAUGUAUUUAGUUAGAGUUCGUGACUUAGUACUACCAGUCUUGGGAGGUUGUAUAUUUAUUUCCGUUGUUGGUUUCGAUUAUAAAAAAAUGGCUUGAAUUGUUAUUAUAAUAGGCUUACCUAGUCUUAGAGACUAGGUGCCAUCACGACACUUAUGGUGAGAUUUUGGGUCGUGAGACAUAUUCAAUAUAUUGUAGUUUGCUACUCAUGCUAGAAUACUUUGAGUAUUUCUAAUGAAGAUACUUGAAACUUACCGGUGAAACCCUGUAAAAUUGAAUUGAAUCGAACUAUAAACACUUCUAAUUACACUUGAUUGAUAAAGGUAUUGUUCUGAUAGAACAAAUUUGAAUCAAAUAAUUUUUAACAACAUAAACAUAUAGUAUAAAGUAUUGGGACUAAAGUGUAUACUAGGAAAUCCCUCAAUUUUGGUCACAUUUUUGGAUCUUAUCAAGAAAUCCCUAAACGGCCUCUUCCAAAAAAUUCUCUCUCAAAGCUAAAGGUUUAACCUCAUUCUCAUUUCUCAUCUGGCAUCAUUGGGCGACAUCAAAAGUAAGUUUAAUUUUGUCUUUGAAGUGUCUUUCUUAUUGCUUUUCUUUUUAAGAAUAGAAUAGCAGAUGGAUGUACCUUUGCCAUGUAAAAUUGUAGUUGCAAUUAGAGAAUUCGAAGCCAUAACGAAAAGUAUCCAAACAGAUGGAGAACAAAGGGAUAUGUACUUCGCUGGAUUAAAAUAUUGGAAUGAGUUGUUAUACUUGAAUCUAGUAACUACAGAAACUAAGAGACAAACAAAGCUUGCAAAAUCUUGAGAAUAUUCGUAUGUACCUAGUCAUAUUUGUCGGGUUCGGGUUUGGGUUUGAAUUUGGUAAUAAUGGAGAUGCCUCGUCGGCGAAACUUCUUGGAUCUCCACCAUUUUUAUGGAAUUUUAUGUAGCGUUGCUGGAGAAGGAAAAGAAAAAAGAAAAGCGAAGGGAAUGUCUCUUAAAAUCAGAAUCUUGCUUGGUUUGUGGUGAGUCUAGGUGGAAAUCAGUUGAAGGUCAAAAAAACUAAUGGGGAAACGCCAGGAAAGAAUAAAAACAAAGUUCCUCGAAAAGUUUUACGCUAUUUCCCCUUAAAACCAAGAUUGCAAAGGUUAUUUAUGUCAUCAGAAAUAGCUUCAGAUAUGACAUGGCAUCAUAUCAGCGUUUGAAAGAUGGGGUUCUUAGACAUCCAGCUGACUCCGAUGCGUGGAAACAUUUUGAUGCAUCUAAUCCGGGUUUUGCUAGAGAUCCUCGUAAUGUUAGACUUGGAUUAUCAUCUGACGGGAUAAAUCCUUUUGGCAAUUUAAGUGUUUCUCAUAGCACUUGGCCAGUGAUUAUUACUGUGUAUAACCUACCACCUUAGAUGUGCAUGAAGCAACCAUAUUGCUUCUUAUCUUUGUUGAUACCGGGUCCUAAAGCUCCUGGAAAUGACAUUGAUGUGUACUUAGAAUCUUUGAUAGAUGAGUUGCAAGAAUUGUGGUAUAAUGGAGUCAAUACAUAUGAUGCUUCCAGAAAGGAGAACUUUUGUAUGCGGGCAGCACUCUUAUGGACUAUAAACNNNN